rnacentral:rRNA from 1 species
GCUUACGCCAUACCACCUGAACACGCCCGAUCUCGUCCGAUCUCGGAAGCUAAGCAGGGUCGGGCCUGGUUAGUACUUGGAUGGGAGACCGCCUGGGAAUACCAGGUGCUGUAAGCU